CGCGAAGGGGCCGUGGCGCCCCCCUUUCCGGAAGCCUGGAUGCGUAUUAAAAUCAAGCCUAUUGUGAAAAGCGAAGCAAAAGCCCCAAGGCUGCAAUCUUAAGCAUAAUUACAUGGGAGUGAAGCCCCAGGAGAAAGGGGGUUUUACUUGGGAGCAAGCUUAUUUGGUUUGCUUUGCAAUGGGGUGCUCGCAAGAGGCCGUUUGCCAAAAACACGGUUCGUGUCUGGGUGCUAAAUGUUUUUUCCGCAAGUUAAGUUCUGCCGUUUGGAAGAACUUGCUUCAAAUUCCUGAGAGGGUUGUCGAGGUCUCGGGCUGGUGGUUUAGGUUCUGUUCCGCUCUCAGCCGAUUAAUUGACCUAGUGCACCUCUAUAAUAAGAGUAUUCCAGCGUAUGCCGACUAUUAAAUACAAAUUAUUUAACAUUCUCAUAAAAUGCAUAGAUGAUGCUUCUAGACUCAUGAACUGAGAACAGAGAGAGAACCUAGCCGUAGUCACGAUGUUUGGUAGAAACCAAUGCGACCCUUUGAUAUGUGACAACUUGAAAGCAAGUGUCACUUAAAUAAGGGAGAAUUAACAAGAAAUGUUUCCAAAGAAGAGUGCAGGAAGAAGUGGGCUUUUGCAAACGGUUUGUUAACAGGAAUUGCGGGAACUGGGCACCCCAUUUCUCACAUAAGUAUGGCUUGGCUACCCACACUCCAACACUUUUAAUGGGAUAUACACUAAAUAGGCAUCCUUAUCUCCAUUACAGAGCUGGUGGCUAAAUACUUCUUCAAAUGUCAAUUAAAGCAGGGUCCGGCACUUCUGUUUUAAACGGUUUUAGUCUUCGGAUCUACAUAAUACAAGGAAGUAUAUGUAUUACCAGGAAAAAUUAAAAUCUGAUGAAGAGAUUCAAAGUACACGAGAUUGCGUUGAAUGUAGUUCCGAUAGAGUCCAUUACAGUGCACCCCGACUCAGAAGCAGUGGGACUUGCUCCCAGAAGUGUAGAUUUUUGUCCAGGUUCUCCUAGGCAAACCAUUUGGCCUUUCCCUCCGAAACCACAAGAGCGAUUGGCUGAAGUUCGUUGCUAUCGGAGGGAGAAAUAACUGAGACGGGAAGCACGCUAUGAUGCCGGCGGCAAGACGCAGCGACGAGGGAGCGGUGCGUGCCAAGCGCCAGCCGGCGACCGGGGCGAAAAGCGUCUCCGGAGGCGACGGUUCCCAGGCGGAGUCCGCGGCCGCUUGCACCGGGCGCCUCCGGCCCGCUGCCUCCUCCUCCGUCGCGGGCUGCGGCUGCCCCUCCGCCCCGACACGGCGGGCGGCGGAGGCCCGCGGUUCCCCCGGAAGGCGCGCCGCGCAGGGCGCAUUUCGGGUCGGAACCGGGCUCUUCGGGGAGAGGCGAGCGAGGCGAAGGCGCGGGUUGUGCGCGGGGCACACGCGGUCCGAACAAGCGGCUCUGUUGAUGCGGCACCCAAACCUCGUGUCGUGUCGUGUCGUGUCGUGUCGUGUCCAGCCCGGGGGUUCCGUGACAAAUCGCGGCUUCAAGCGGACGUUUCAUCGCGCAGAACCAGGACCUGGUGGGUGCGGACACGGAGCGGAACUCCGGGCUCGAGUCGCCCCAUACUAGACUGCUCCGCAUAAUAAAACAUGAUAACCUUGAUUCAUGUCCCGUUGUUGUAAUAACGUGAAGCUGUUACGGAUACGAGAUUGUGAUUAAUGUUUAUGAGGCUUAACGAAUCAUGAUCUUCAUUCGUCGCAAUCAUUACGCGAGUUCGUUUCAAAGGUAUGUUGGUGGAACUUCUGGCUUUUGUAGCCUGAAGGCAAGAGAAAUGAUUUAUUAUUUUAAUUCUGGCCUAGGAGUGGGCCAAUUAUUCUCAUUCUCAGCUAAGGCACUGAAGGAAUGUAACGCCGAUGAGACAACUGCCUUCUUCAUUGAAGAAUCUCGCCUGCUGUAAUUAAUGCGUACAAUGGAAACCAGCCUUCCCUUACGUUUCAUGGCUCAUUUAUUGGUGGAAAACAGGGAAACACAUCUGACAAAUAAAGAGAAAGUACAGAA